CUGUAGCUGAAGCGCGAAUUCGAGAUUCCACAACACAUCUCCCAUCGUCGGCCGAUCUAAUCCGCUAUCGGAGAGGCAUUUCUCCGCCGUAUCUGCAAAUUUCUUCAAACAUUCCGGAUUGAUCUUCCCUUUCAGGUUAGGAUCGACUAUUUCCUCUAGAGUCCCUUUUCGUUUGCAAUUCAUCGCCCAAUCUCCGAGACUCACCUGUUCCUUGGGCAAGCUAGGGUUCAAAGCCGGCCUCGCGCAUAAGAUCUCGAAUAGAACAACACCGAAAGAGUAAACAUCUGAUUUCUCAGUCAAUUGUUGUCUUCUAAAGUAUUCUGGAUCUAAAUAUCCGAAACUUCCCUUGACGACAGUCGUCACAUGGCCUCCGUUCAUAUUCGGCCCGGUUUUGGAUAAACCGAAAUCGGAAACUUUCGCAACCCAAGUCUCGUCGAGC
rnacentral:lncRNA from 1 species